rnacentral:rRNA from 1 species
AACGAACGCUGGCGGCAUGCCUAACACAUGCAAGUCGAACGAAACCUUCGGGUCUAGUGGCGCACGGGUGCGUAACGCGUGGGAACCUGCCCUUAGGUUCGGAAUAACUCUCCGAAAGGGGUGCUAAUACCGGACAAUGUCUUCGGACCAAAGAUUUAUCGCAUUUGGAUGGGCACGAGUUGGAUUAGCUAGUUGGUAGGGUAAAAGGCUACCAAGGCGCCGAUCCAUAGCUGGUCUGAGAGAAUGGUCAGCCACACUGGGACUGAGACACGGCCGGGACUCCUACGGAAUGGGGGAGAGGGGAAUAGUGCACCAUGGGGGAAAGGCUGAUAGAGCUAGGCCGGGUGAGUGAUGUAAGCGUUAGGGUAGAAAAGCUUUUUUAACCGUGAUGGUAAUGACAGUACCGGGACAAUAAGCUCCGGCUAACUCCGUG